rnacentral:tRNA from 1 species
UCCUGGCUGGCUCAGUUGGAAGAGCAGGAGACUCAUGAUCUCAGGGUCAUGAGUUCAAGCCCCACGCUGGGUA